GGGUUGUGAGGUUAAGCGACUAAGCGUACACGGUGGAUGCCCUGGCAGUCAGAGGCGAUGAAGGACGUGCUAAUCUGCGAUAAGCGUCGGUAAGGUGAUAUGAACCGUUAUAAC
rnacentral:rRNA from 9 species